GCAAUCGUGGUGUAAAUGUAGCACACUUGACGCGUAUUCGAGAGGUCCAGGUUCGAGUCCCGGCGAGAGCA
rfam:Stegodyphus mimosarum contig94027, whole genome shotgun sequence.